UAGGUAAGGGAACUCGGCAGAACGGGUCCGUAACCUUGGGAAAAGGAUUGACUCUGAGGGCUGAGCCGGUCGGGCUGGGGUCCAGAAGAAGGAAUGGCACUGCACCGGUACUGGGUGAGUCUCGCCGCAGUAAAAAGCGGUGCGGUCGAGCCCGCACCAGCGUCGGGACCUUCCUGUGGAAAGCCACAGCUGUGCUUGUUUCCAUGGGCUUCGCGCCUGGAGGUUCUUGCUUCGGCCGGCAGAAAACAGCCGACUCAGAACAGCUCAGACAUCAGGUCAGGACUUUCGUACUUA
rnacentral:rRNA from 1 species